UUCAGGGGUAAACCUGAGAAGCCCGAAAGGUCGAAAGGGGAAAUUCAUUCGCGUUUCGGCCGUCGGCGUGGGACGGUCGAGUGACGGACGUCGCACGCGGCGUCCGCGCCUUUCGUCUUUCGAACCGGCGUCGAACGCGUGCACUUUUCCCCUAGUAGGACGUCGCGAUCCGUUGGGUGUCGGUCUACGACCCGCGGUGGAGCCCGUGCGGACGCCUCCCGGCGUAUCGCUCGGACCCGCGGUGUUCCGGCCGACCCGCUCGACGGUAUACAGAUGGCGCGGGGCCGCUACACAAACAGUUAGCGUUCGGCCCGCGGCAAGCGCGUUCGGCGUUUGACGGCGAUCGGACCCGGUGCCGGUCCUGUCCCCGAACGACUGUUGGCCGCGGUGCUCUCGAACAGACCUCGUCUCGAAACGCCGAUCUGCGACGCUAUAGCUUUGGGUACUUUCAGGACCCACGGACCAAGGAGUCUAGCAUGUGCGCGAGUCAUUGGGACAUAACUAAACCUAAAGGCGUAAUGAAAGUGAAGGUCCGCCUCGCGCGGAUCGAGGGAGGACGGGCGGUUCGCCCUCAAAGUGGCCGCCCCGCACUCCCGGGGCGUCUCGUUCUCAUCGCGAGAAGAGGCGCACCAAGAGC
rnacentral:rRNA from 1 species